AGAGUUUGAUCCUGGCUCAGGAUGAACGCUGGCGGCGUGCCUAACACAUGCAAGUCGAGCGAACCCUUCGGGGUGAGCGGCGGACGGGUGAGUAACGCGUGGGUAACCUGCCCUAUACACACGGAUAACGUACCGAAAGGUACGCUAAUACGAGAUAACAUAUUUUUAUCGCAUGGUAAAAAUAUCAAAGCUUUUGCGGUAUAGGAUGGACCCGCGUCUGAUUAGCUAGUUGGUAAGGUAAUGGCUUACCAAGGCGACGAUCAGUAGCCGACCUGAGAGGGUGAUCGGCCACAUUGGAACUGAGACACGGUCCAAACUCCUACGGGAGGCAGCAGUGGGGAAUAUUGCACAAUGGGCGAAAGCCUGAUGCAGCAACGCCGCGUGAGCGAUGAAGGCCUUCGGGUCGUAAAGCUCUGUCCUCAAGGAAGAUAAUGACGGUACUUGAGGAGGAAGCCCCGGCUAACUACGUGCCAGCAGCCGCGGU
rnacentral:rRNA from 1 species